CACAACCUAUUCUCACCAUGCCUGUGUGAUUUCCUGUGCUGCUGCCUGCAGACAGAUGAGGCACGGCGCUGGUCUGCCAAGGAGCUCCUGCAGCAUCCAUUUGUAACAUCAGCCAAGCCAGCAUCCACUCUGUCACCACUCGUCAUUUCAGUGAAGAAGAAGAAGUGUGACAGAAGACACUGUCUUCAUAACUAGUGUAGAGUAGAACUACAUAGGAUAGGAUAGGAUUGAUAGCAUAGGAUUGACAAGUAGUUUUGUAAGGCAGGUUUUUCAGGUAGUAGGAUUGUAGAGUAGGAUUAUAGAGUAGGGUUCCUGAGUAGGAGGACUGUAGUGUAGGAUGUAGCGUAGGAUGGUAGACUAGGAUUAGAGAGUAGGAUUCCUGAGUAGGAGGACUGUAAUGUAGGAUGUUGUGUAGGAUUGUAGAGUAGGAUUGCAAAUAAAUAAAGUUUUCUAAAACAUCAA